AGAAACUUAAGUUAAUCCAAAACUCGGGGCCUUCAAAGCCCCAAAUAAGAGCCACACUCUUAGUUUCUG
rnacentral:tRNA from 1 species